rnacentral:rRNA from 1 species
GACGAACCGUGCGAACGUUAUUCGGAAUCACUGGGCUUAAAGGGCGCGUAGGCGGGCAGGCAAGUCGAAGGUGAAAUCCCACGGCUCAACCGUGGAAGUGCCCCCGAUACUGCCUGUCUGGAGGGAGAUAGGGGCGUGCGGAACUUCCGGUGGAGCGGUGAAAUGCGUAGAUAUCGGAAGGAACACCGGUGGCGAAAGCGGCGCGCUGGAUCUCUUCUGACGCUGAGGCGUGAAAGCCAGGGGAGCGAACGGG